rnacentral:rRNA from 1 species
UACAGAGGUCCCGAGCGUUGUUCGGAUUCACUGGGCGUAAAGGGUGCGUAGGUGGUGAGGUAAGUCGGAUGUGAAAUCUCCGAGCUCAACUCGGAAACUGCAUUGGAAACUACCUUGCUCGAGGGUUGGAGGGGGGACUGGAAUGCUUGGUGUAGCGGUGAAAUGCGCAGAUAUCGGGAGGAACACCAAUGGCGAAGGCAGCUCGCUGGGACGUGACUGACGCUGAGACGCGAAAGCGUGGGGAGCAAACAGG